CUUAGAGUUGUAUUGUUGUUAUUUACACUAUUCUAGUAAACUAUAGUUAUUGACUAUGAUUUUGAUCAUUUAAGUGCAAAUUUACACACACUACAAGCAGAUGUGAGUUUAAUCGUACAAGAUUAGAUAAGAUAAGAAGAAUGGGUGAAUUAGGAGACUGCUGGUGGAAUUUGCAUAUGCACAGAUUUACAGUCAGAUCUGACCAUAUGCAAGUUUGAUGGAUAUGGACCAUAUAUUCAAAUUUAUCUGGACAUAAAUUCUAAUUAGUUGACUUUUUAAUUAUUAUUAGUAUACAUUUAUUCCUCAUUCAUCUGCACAUAGAGUGGAGUAACCAUAUCUUACUUCCUCUCCUGUUUCAGACUGGGGACUGUGUUGAUUUAUAUCCGUCUAGUGUUUAAGAACUUGACCAAUGUACCAAGUGAGGCUGAUGUUCUCAAAGCUGCCAAUGCUCUGCUAGACUCAAGUGUCAGGUUGGCACGAGAUACUGAAACAGUAAGAGUGUAUAAUCCUGUCAGCAUACAGAAUGUCACCUACCAGAAAUUCGGCAUCAACUCGUACAUUAUUAGCUUUGGAUUUGAAAUUAGCAAUAUAAGCUUUACUGUAAACACGGGACUACGGAAUGAAACAUAUGAUGUAAUCCAAAGCACCAUCAACCAUCUGCUUAACAGAAUUCUGAAUGCCCCAAAUUCUACACCAUUUACCUUCCCAAGAGCAAACUAUAUGAGUAACUCUACCAUGAUUGUGGCUGAUUCAGAAUAUGUCUUUUCGGAAGGUGAUAUCAAUUUCAAACCAAGUGGAUUUCUUUCUCAGAUACUCGUAGUUAGUGGUCUGAGUUCCCCAUCCCCUAACACCACAGUUCCCACUUCUAAUCUCACUUCUGAGUUUGGUUUGUUAUCAACCCUCACUGAGAAAGAGCUUCCAGGAUGGGCACUGGCCAUCAUUAUCCCCUGCAUUAUAGCUAUUAUUCUCAUACCAU
ensembl:lncRNA